rnacentral:rRNA from 1 species
GACGGGACCCGCACAAGCGGUGGAUGAUGUGGAUUAAUUCGAUGCAACGCGAAAACCUUACCUACCCUUGACAUGUCCGGAAUCCCGAAGAGAUUUGGGAGUGCUCGCAAGAGAACCGGAACACAGGUGCUGCAUGGCUGUCGUCAGCUCGUGUCGUGAGAUGUUGGGUUAAGUCCCGCAACGAGCGCAACCCUUGUCAUUAGUUGCCAUCAUUUGGUUGGGCACUCUAAUGAGACUGCCGGUGACAAACCGGAGGAAGGUGGGGAUGACGUCAAGUCCUCAUGGCCCUUAUGGGUAGGGCUUCACACGUCAUACAAUGGUCGGUACAGAGGGUUGCCAACCCGCGAGGGGGAGCUAAUCCCACAAAGCCGAUCGUAGUCCGGAUCGCAGUCUGCAACUCGACUGCGUGAAGUCGGAAUCGCUAGUAAUCGUGGAUCAGCAUGUCACGGUGAAUACGUUCCCGGGUCUU